UCACAACCAUUGCUCAACUAAACUAUUUACCAGGUAAAGCUCACUGAGCUAUAUAGCUAUUUUUUUUAGAACCGACGUGGCUACCUUAUGAAGGCCGCCUUUGUUUCCCUCGUGGCGAUGUUUACACACCACUCCAGAUAUUAGUUUUAGGCUGAGUCGAUUUAGGGGAGGCACAGGACCCGUUAAAAAAAUCAUCACUGGGUGGUGGUCGUGAACGGAAAUCGAACUGUGGUCGUCGGGGUCGGAGCAGAGCACGCUAACCACUACACUACUGCUGACCCAGAAACAUACGCACACACACACUCGCUCACACACAGCCCUGCUCGUGGCUGUGGUAAAUAACAACACGGCGAUUUUUCCCAGAGAGGAAAUGGAAUUUCUCACCGACCGAGUGACGCAUCUUGCUCGACCGCACGCCCAUUGCUCACAGCGGCUAUCGCGAAGGAGCUGCAGCUUGGAGCAAGACGCGAGCGCAGACAAAGCGAGAGCUACGCAUCCGAGCUCCCAACCAUGAACCACCGCGAAUCCGCCUUCAUCGUAACGGUAAUGGUGGUGGCAGUGCACGUGAUGAACUCAGCAAAAAGCCCCAUUCAGCACAUGGCGGCUGUUGAAGGCGAAGAUGUGCUCCUUAACUGUUCAACAUCGUCCACAAUAUACCGAGUGCGAUGGAGAUAUGGACAGUCUAACACAACGAUAUUAUAUUGUAACAUUCAAUCUAUCACAUCCUGCAACCCACUUCUCUGCUACAUGGUUUUCUCUUGGAACCUGAGCAGUGGAAAUGGCUCCAUCACUCUGAUUUCAGUCCCAGCGAACGCGAGUGGAAUGUACCGCUGUUUUCUGGAAACAACCACAGCUGAUCGUCAUGAGAUGGUUUACAAUUUGACAGUAACUUCUCAAGGUAAUGCCACAAAGCUUGAGAUGUAAUGAAACGUCUGCAUAUAUAAAUUCAUAUUAACCAUUCACUCGAUGUAAAUAAAUUACACACGUUGUGGUUUUAGUUUGUAACAAUUAUAGUGGUGCAUCGAUUAAUAUGUCUGAACAUCACAAAACAUUCAUAUUAUUUGUAUAAGCAAGAAUCGAUUGUUUACCUGCAUGCGUGUGUUCUAUGUAUUCAGCUCACUUUUCUCCGAAGAUACUAGAGGCCGCUUCAUUCACAACAAUGUAAAGAAAAUAGAUUCCAGAAUAAAAUCACAAUCCUUGAAUCGCAACAAUGCAUGAUACUAUUAAUCUUAAUCAUAACAAAUGUGUUUUUUCUCUCUCCCAAUGUUAACUCAGAUGCACUGUAAAAUCUCAAACUAGCUCAGGCAGCUUGGCACCCGAGUUUAAAUCAUUGCUUGGGGAGGGGAACUCAGCUAUCAUCCUUCAAAGGGUUGACUAAAUGAGAACUACUUUGUGGGGAAAUAAAUUAAUAUUUAUAUAUUUUUAAGGAGGGCCACGGUGGCGAGAUGUUAUCUUCGUCGAAGGUUGAAUCUUGACCCUGACACCUGCUGCUGUAUAUUUGGAGUUUGCGUCCCUCUCAAUCUCCGUAGUAGCUUUGAUUUUUUCCGGGUACCUCCACAUGCAAAUCAACAUCACACGUUUAGAUAACUGGCUGCUAUAAAUUCCCAAGUGAUGAGCCCCUUUGUUGAGCUAUCAUUUAUGGCCAAGUCACUUAUGUAAAAAAGAGCUACUUAGCUUAGUGGAGUCUGACCUGGUAAAAUACAAAAUAAUACUCUUUGGUUCUUUCGGUGAAGUCACGUAGGUGA